GCACCCUGCUCUUGUACAAAUCGGUCAACUUAGCUGGGAUCCCCAAAUUGUCGACGUAGACGACCCGAAUCGGCUCCUUAACCGCAUCGGCCGCCUCCACAGUCAGCGCAUACGCCUUGCCGGCCUCGCUUCCGAGAUUCAGAUUUGAAAUCUCAUCGCUGAUCCCGGUGUUUUUGGAGAGGCGGUAGAUGGGGGCGAGGACGGUGAGGCAGAGCAGCGCAAGGGCUGGUUUCCGCCACGCCGGAAAACCGCCCAUCGGGGCCGGAAAACCGGUAUAUGGUCGGAAAACCGGUG
rnacentral:misc_RNA from 1 species